rnacentral:pre_miRNA from 15 species
AGGAGACGUGUUCUGUGUCCCACUGUCUUCUAUGGCUUUUUAUUCCUAUGUGAUUAUACUGCUAAUUUCAUAUAGGGAUUGAAGCCGUGCAAUACGCUGGGGCUGGCCACCAGAGAACAUC